UCCUACCAGGCUGUGGUUGCGGACGGACGAAAUGCCCGUCCUAGUCCAAGACAGACGCGGUCAAAGGGAUCCACGUAAGCGACCGCGUGUGCGCGGCGCGAUCAUGGCGCGUCCUAGAUGUAAGCCGCACCGUCCGUUCUAUUUUUCUUUGGGGCAAUACCGCCUCGCGGGCGAGCGGGCCAGUCGUGAAGGCGGCUACGGCCUCCCGAGCAAACGCCCCGGUGCGCAAGUGUGGGGUCAAAUACCAGGUCAGCUGGUGGGA
ncrna:unclassified sequences raiA RNA